AAAAGACUCUAAUAAUUUUCACCAAGCUUCCCUGGAGGACUUACUUAUGAUGAAGUUUCGUAUAAAGUACAGAACUGUUAGUCGCACAGUCCAGUUGGAUGGGGAUGAAUCCGAGCUAACACUCUCCCAUCUGCUGGUCGCCGUAUCCAACACGUUCUCUGAUAUAUUGACAGGGUCAUUUUAUUUGAGUCUGAAUAAGAAGGAUUGCCUUGGUGAUGAUGACCAGACCCUAAAAUCCCUGGGGCUGGUGUCGGGGGACCUGGUACACCUAGUUAGCACUGACCCAGAUAAUGUCCAAGAAAUUCAGCAACCAGCCUCUGGGCAACAAAGCAACAGACCCCUGGGGUUGCUAGAUCUUGCCACAAGUUCUUCAAGCACCAGUGAGCAACCUUCCACAUCCAUACCAGGUCAACAUUUAGGCCAAACAUCCACAAGCAAAUAUAUUGAUGAAAUGGAGGCAGAACAUUUCCAAAGUGGGGCAAUGAAUUUCCAAAGUGAGGCUGUGAAUCCGUUGGACCUGGCUGUUGUCACUCAAUGUCUCAGUGAGCCGAGACUGUGCUGCGAGUCCACUCCUGGCAGACUGCCAGCCCUGCUCACUGAGUUGUACUCGGACGCUCAGUGUAGGUUUUAUGAAGAGGCACUCUGUUUGGUUCUCCAUGUAUUGAUGUUGGAAGCGGGAUACCAGCCAAGUAUACUUGACUUGUCAAAAUUGAUGAAAACGUGGAUAAAUGUAAAUGUCAGAUUAAGACCAAGGACUUUGUACAGGAACUAGCCCCAGAAGCAGGUGCUUGUUAUCAGAACUUACCCCAAGUGUCUUGGAUAUUCAAGGAUGCUAUAUGCUUACCUCUACAGCAGAAAUACAGAGAGGCAAUGAAUUUAGUACCUCUUCAUGGAAUUCAAGCUCUAAGUAAUGAAUUAAAGCUAAAGAUUCUUGGUCACUUAGACGUUCUGAGUCUGUUAACAAUGUCACAAGUCUGUAAAGAGUUCCAUGGACUCAGUAAUGACAGGUUUAUUUGGAGACGUCUUUUCUUGUACCACUUUGGUAAUCGAGCUCAGAAUGUAUUGAACCAGAAUUGGAAAGAGUUGUAUAAGGCAGAGUAUCGAAUCAGAAAGCAGCACAGGAAGUGGCUCAGUCAGAUGACCACACUAGUGCCCCCGUUUAUUCCCGCUGACCCGUACACCCAGCGGGUUCCUCUGCUGGCCCCGUUCAGUCCCAGAAUGAUCGGAGGGGAUUACGACCUUUACCCCCAGUUCCAUGGUGUGCCCAACCCUUUAUUUGGUCGUCGAGGAGGAAGAUUUCCUGACCUAAGGCCGCGGUUUGACCCGUUUGGUCCGGGACAGAAUUUCCCUCCAGGUCCUGGAGGAGGGUUUCAGGAUGGACAGAGAGGAGGUUCUAGGUUACAGGGCGGGUCAAGGUCAGGCAACUCAUGGCUCGGGGGAGGACCUAGGUGGUUCUAAUCAAGGGACGCUCAAUGAGGACAAUUAGCUCAUCAGACAGGUUCUCCAUGUUAUUGCUGUGUUCAUACAUGUAUGAGAAGAGUCUUAACUGUGUCAAAAACAACUCCAUGCACCAGUACAUAUUGAUUUAUACUUUAACAAGUAUUUUUUUUUUGAUUGAUUGGUACGUUACCAUGGAGAUUGAUCCUUGGUUGUACCAAGUAAUAUAUACCUUUCUUGUUACUGUUGUUAUUCAUUAAAUAUAAAACAAGUUU
rnacentral:misc_RNA from 1 species